AUUGAACGCUGGCGGCAGGCCUAACACAUGCAAGUCGAGCGGAUGAAGGGAGCUUGCUCCUGGAUUCAGCGGCGGACGGGUGAGUAAUGCCUAGGAAUCUGCCUGGUAGUGGGGGAUAACGUCCGGAAACGGGCGCUAAUACCGCAUACGUCCUGAGGGAGAAAGUGGGGGAUCUUCGGACCUCACGCUAUCAGGUGAGCCUAGGUCGGAUUAGCUAGUUGGUGGGGUAAAGGCCUACCAAGGCGACGAUCCGUAACUGGUCUGAGAGGAUGAUCAGUCACACUGGAACUGAGACACGGUCCAGACUCCUACGGGAGGCAGCAGUGGGGAAUAUUGGACAAUGGGCGAAAGCCUGAUCCAGCCAUGCCGCGUGUGUGGAGAAGGUCUUCGGAUUGUAAAGCACUUUAAGUUGGGAGGAAGGGCAGUAAGUUAAUACCUUGCUGUUUUGACGUUACCAACAGAAUAAGCACCGGCUAACUUCGUG
rnacentral:rRNA from 1 species